UCACAUACAUAUGAGAGAUAUGUUAGGGGGUGGGGGUGGGGGGAGAUGUGAGUUUAGCAGAUCCGAAAUGGGAGAUAGAGUUUAUCCGGAAAACUAUGGGGAUUGGUGGGUUGGAAAGCUUUUUCCUUCUUAUUAAACGCUUUCCAAUUCCACCCAUUCCUAUGGUUUUUCAGUAAUCUCUCCCUUUUUUAACUGCAGAGAUCAUACAGAUGAACUUUGAAUGGAACAGAUACUCUCGUUUUCUUGCCCUUCAAAUGUGAUGAUGUAAAAUUCGCGUAUUUCGGUCUCUCAAACAAACACAUCUAAGUUGACUGUGAAUGUUGUAGAAAAAAUAAUUUGGUUUUCCUUACAACAUCGUUAUUUGUAACUGAUCACUUUGUUACGCUCUUUAUUUAUUAAAGGUUAACAGUAAUAUUUUAAUUUUAAUUUUAAUUUUGUAAGUGAUAGUGUGAGAGUAAUCUCAUCUCCUAUAAAGAUGUAACCAGUUCGAUAA